rnacentral:rRNA from 1 species
UACGAAGGGGGCUAGCGUUGUUCGGAAUUACUGGGCGUAAAGCGCACGUAGGCGGAUAUUUAAGUCAGGGGUGAAAUCCCAGAGCUCAACUCUGGAACUGCCUUUGAUACUGGGUAUCUUGAGUAUGGAAGAGGUAAGUGGAAUUGCGAGUGUAGAGGUGAAAUUCGUAGAUAUUCGCAGGAACACCAGUGGCGAAGGCGGCUCACUGGCCCGGUACUGACGCUGAGGUGCGAAAGCGUGGGGGGCAAACAGGG